UCAAAACCAAAGAUACUCUAUUUGUACUAUCAAAUUAGAGACAAACAUUCCCAUGCGGAAUUAUGUGGGCUCCAAAUAAAAAAAGAUGAAUAUGAUAGAAGGGGAAAAAAAAUUGGGAAAUUUACUAGAGUAACCCAUAUUUUAUACAUAAUGACCCAAAAGGAAUGCUAAAAAUAUGAGUUAUUUGAGUAAUAAUUAUACCUAAAUUAUCCUUGUUUUCCUUUGCAGAGAAAAACAAUAUUACAGAAAUGCCAUUACUAUUUAAUUCCAGCAAGGCAAUAAAACCAUAUUUAUUUACGAAAAUGCCAUCGUCGUUUUUGGUAAAUUUGUGGCUCUUGUUGCGACGGAUUUGUUAUCGAUCACAGAUUUGUUGGUCAACCACAGAUUUUUUACAACAGACUUGUCUUGUACCACAGACUUUACUGUGUUAUGUUACGCCAGACUUUUUUUUUUCGCAGAUUUUUUAACCGUGACUGAUUUGUUUCAUAUAGUUUCCACAGAUUUUAUUUAAAUUUCAAAAGUAAGAAUGUUGAAACCAAAUCUGUCACUGAUUUGUUUUCCGGACCACAGAUUUUUCUUUAUGGUGGCAACAGAUUUUCUAUUUGCACCCAAAAAUCUGUUGUGUUAUAACAGAUUUGUUAACCUCGAAAAAUGUUAUAUAGGCAUGACAGAGUUGUUUUGUGUAAUCACAGAUUUAAUUAACUUGUUAACAAAUCUGGUGUUUUACAACAGAUUUUUGUUAAAAAAGAAAAUUACUACACAGUCACAUAGUGAUAACAGAUUUGUUUUUAGUGAUGACAGUUUUGUUUUUCAGUGUCAAAGCAUAACAGAUUUACUCAUGUCAAUGUUAUGGCCGAUUUGUUUAUGACUAGAAUAACCUUUUUAGUAAUAACAGACUUUUUUUGGCAGAUUUAUUUUUAAAAUUUCGAAAUUUUUUGUUAUAUGAGAUUUAUUAGCUAGCCCUCAAUUAAAUUAUUUCCUGGUCUAAUUGUAUGUUAAAUCCGGUUUGACUGGAUUUUUUU
rnacentral:sRNA from 1 species